GACAGAGGCAAUAGCAAACAUAAAAACUGUAAGGUAGGACUAGUAUGGCUAGUUCCAGGAGCCAAAAGAAAUCAUCGUGACUGGAUACUAGUGAGCCAGGGGGAGAACAGUGACAAUGAGGCUGACAGGUGAGUGGGCUAGACCAUGUAGGGACAUCCAUACGUACAUCUUUCAAGUCAGGACUCCUAGAUUCACCUUUCCAUAAUUUCUGAAAGCAUUGUUACUUCCUCUUAAAAACCUUUCAGCAUCUUCCACCUCUCUGGGCAAUGAAGUUUGAUCACCUUAUCAUGGUAUCUCAAAUACUGGCUGCACAUUAGAAUCUUGGGGACAUGUUUAAAAAUAUAAGUGUGUAGAUGCCACUCUCAACUAAUGUAAUCAGAAUGGACAUUGAUAUUUCUAUCCAGUUUACGGUUGAUUCUAAUAUACAGCCAAGGCUGAGAGACAUUGAUCUAGGCCCGUGCAAUCCAACAGAAUGAUAAUAUAAGCCACAUGUAUUCAAAUGGCCUCAUUAUAAAAAGUUAAAAACCCAGAUAAAGUUAAUUUUAAUAAUAUAUUUGUUUAAUCCAGUAUGUCCGAGGUAUCCCCAUUGCAAAAUGUAGUCAAUACAAAAAUUAAGAAAUAUGCUACAUUCCUUUCACACGCUAAGUCUUUGGAAUCCUGUAUGUAUUUUAUACUUAGAGUAUCUGUCAAUUCUGAUGGCAAAUAUUCAUCAGAAAUACUUGACCUAUAUUUGCUGUUUAUAAAGCUUAUGGUUGAAAAAUUAGAUUCUGGGGGGAUCCCUGGGUGGCACAGCAGUUUGGCGCCUGCCUUUGGCCCAGGGCGCGAUCCUGGAGACCCGGGAUCGAGUCCCACGUCGGGCUCCCGGUGCAUGGAGCCUGCUUCUCUCUCUGCCUCUCUCUCUCUCUCUCUGUGACUAUCAUAAAUAAAUAAAUAAUUAAAAAAAAAAAGAAAAACUAGAUUCUGAAACACAAGUUGUUUAUCACAUACUUAAAAGUUUUCUAAAACUAAAUUUAGUAUCAUUUUCAAAAAUUUAAUUAUAGACUAGUUAAAUAAAAUGGACAGCUAAAUUCCUUACAUUAACUACAUUAUAUGUGCUCAUCAGCUAUAUGUGGCUGGUACUACCCUAUUGGACAAUGAAGCUCUAGACUAUAAAUCCAAUUUACUUUCCAGCAGGAUGUAGUACUGGGUAAAGUGCUUGGUUUUGUAGUGAGACAUUAAUGGGAUUCCAUUCCAACUAUGUGCUGUGGGAUUAUAGACUGGCGAAGGUCUGCCAACCCUUGUUUUCACAUCUACAAAGGAAGAAUAGUAUUGCUUCCAUAUUAUCAUUAGAAUUAGAUAUGAAAACAUAGGUAAACUACCGAGUAUGGUGCCUGCUAUAUGAUAGGCUUUCAAUUAGAUGUUUCUUCUACCUCAUAGGACUCCACCUCUCUUACACGUAAUCCGUCAACUCUGUUGAAUCUUUAUAUUAAAAUAAUAAUAAUAAUGUAAAAGAUGAAGCCUUUCAUUACCUUUAGUUACAUCCAUCUUUCCCUCUAAAUUUCAUUAAUCCCUAUCCUGUUUUUCCUUCUUUUUCUCCUCUGUCAUCUUAUCCAUGAAACUCCCAACCAAAUAAGUUGAUGUACAUAUAUUAACUAAUAUAUAUUUAAAGGCACUUUACUUUUGUCACUGAUUUGAAUGUAAUUUCCCACCAGGCUGUGUAUUUUUUAUUUGAGUGGUUAUACACUGGUAAUAGCCCUCAGGCCAAAUCUAAUCCACAUCCUGUUUUAUUUUGCCCAAUGCAAUGUUGGUCUGUAUAGUAUUAAAACAUUGGAUGUUGGCAUUUAAGAAUCAAUUAGAUUUGUUUAGAAUUUACAUUUGCAGCUUCUCGUGAAAAAAACAACCAACCAACUGUUGACAGCACAAGGCCUGCAUUUCCACAUGAUGAUAAUCUACUGUGUCGAAUUGAAGCUUUCCCCUUCAGCCUACAUGAAUUCUUCUCUGCCAUGCUUUCUUGUGCUUCUGACUCUGAAGCUGAAAGUCAGUUACUGUUUAUCAUCACUCAUUCUUGCAAUUUUAUUAUACCUGUCACCAUGAUUUCUCUUGCCAAAGUAUGCUAAUGAAUUUAUGACUUCUGAUCUCUUUCAAUGUUAAGUCUUCUCUCUUCAACUCCACACCCUUCCUGGCCCUCCAAAAACAGCUAGGGUCAUUACUAUACACAAACAUUAGAUCAUUUGCUUUUGAUUGCCAAUGCUUACUACAGAUUUUUGGAGGUAGGUCUUGAGUGCUGUAUUUGAAAUGAGAUAUACGGGUGUCUUGAAAUGUGUCUUUUUGCCCUACAAAUGUGAAAAGCUUCCACUUACAAUAAAACCCUCCACUAAGUGAUCUUCAAGCUUAAAGUACAAGCCAUGUUCUCAUCAGUUCUAAACGAGAUUUUUUGGAGAAUGGCAGUAACAUAGUGAAUGAGCUACUUGAAGCAGAGCCCAACGAUGUUUGUUUGUUUCAAAACUCUCAGGAAGCAGAAGAACUGGUACCAUUUUAUCAUUGGAAUAAGAUCACCCAAGUAGGAGUUUAUAUAUUAGUUCCUUAGUUCUUAAGGAUCUCAAGGACUUCUGGAAGAAUUUCAAAUGUCCAUAGCUCCACUUAGGAACUUUGAAAUAUGACUUUAUCUUCUACAAUCUAGAGUUGCAUUGAGGAGUGUUUUGGAGGAAUAUGAAUUACUAAGGAUUUUUGGGUUUGGGGAAUUAUUAUUAUUAUUAGAGGUAUAAAUACUUGCAGGGGUCAUCAAGUUCACAUUUCUCAUUUAAUGCUUUAGAAAAUGAGAUCUAGGGAGUGUUCACUGGCUGAGUCUAGUUUACCCAGAUAGAUACUAAUGAAACUCUAUUUGAAUUCAAAUAUCCUCUCAGUAAAGUCCUGGAGGUGCUUAGAUCUCUAUUAGCACUUACUUUAGAUGCAAAAUUAUGUUAAGAUCAUAGAUAAUUCUGCUUGUUUUAAAAAAAAAAGGUAAAUAGUAGAAGUUACUUAGAAAACCUAUGGUACUAGUAUAGAUCUUGUGCCUCUCUUUUGUGUGUGUGUCUGUGUUUAAAGUACUUUUAAUUUAGAAAAAAUAAAAA
rnacentral:lncRNA from 1 species